AUGCCGAACCUUCCCGACGAGAUCAUCUUCGACAUACUCUCUCGACUCCCCGUCGUCUCCCUCUGCAGAUUCAGGUGCGUUUCCAAACCAUGGCGAUCUCUAAUCUCCCACCCUCAUUUCAUCCGAACUCAAAUCGCUAACAACAAACACGAGCGUGUGAUUCUUCGGCGCGAUGACAACCUAUACUCCGUGGACUUGGAAUCGUCUCAAUUUGGUGAUAAAUCGGUGCAAGCAAUCCUGAAAAUCCCAACCGAGUACCUAGGUUUCGACGUCUACGGUUCGUGUGAUGGCUUGUUAUUGAUUGGCGAUUAUUUAGGCGUCCAUUACUAUUUGGCUAACCCGUCCACUAGAGAAUUUAGAAAAUUACCGCCAUCUCCUUUUAAACUCCACUCUUGGAACUUUCUCAAUUUUUACGGGUUUGGUUACGACUCACGGAGCCACGAUUUCAAAGUUGUAAGUAUUUCUCGUUACAGCAGGGACUCAGCUGAUUGCGUAGUCAGUUUAUAUGCCUUGAGGACCAAUUCUUGGAAAAAGAUUGAGUACUCUCCUUGUGGCCAUUCGGUCAUGGGAGAUAAUUCUGGGGUUCUUGUUAGCGGGGCACUCCACUGGUUUGCGAGAACUAGUAUGAGUACGGUUAUUCUUGCAGUUGAUUUAGCAGUUGAAAAAAUUCGCACCAUUCCAACUUUGGAUUGUACGGGUUUUGAUCUUUUUGUUCAUGGAGGGUGCCUUUGGGUGAAAGCUAAGUUCUAUGAUAGUAGUCGUGCAGAUUUUUGGGUGAUGAAAGAGUAUGGUGUUGGUGAAUCUUGGACUAAAUUUACAGUCACUUACGAUAGAUUUCAUAAUUGGAGACCCUUGAGUUCAUUAAGCGCUGACCGAGUUUUGUUCCGUGUAAACAACAAAAAGUUGGUUCUCUAUGAUCCGCAGGAAGAAAAAUCCAAGGAGCUAGUGGUUCACGGCCUUCCAAUUGAUUUUGUUGGAGGAACUUAUGUGGAGAGCCUUGUUUCACCCAAUGGGCAAUGCUAAGAAUCACAACAAACUAACUUCUAGAUAUGGACAGGUACUAUGUAUGAACUUAGCUGUAUUUUUUCAUUUCUUCUGGAUAUGGUCAAGUAAUAUAUAUAUAUUCGUUGAGGACAAAUUCUUGGAAAAAGAUUGAGAACUUGCCUUAUGAUCAUUCAAGUAAUGGACAUAAAUACGUUUAAGUUAGUGGGGCACACUGCAUUGGUUUGCUAGAACUAAUACGUUUAAGUUAUUGCUGCACUUGAUUUAGCAGAUGAAGAUUUUUGUACUGUGCCAUCCGUGGAUUGUAAGGGUGACGAACUUACUGUUCUUGGAGGGUGCCUUUGUGUGUGGGUUAAGUGGUGUAAUGAUUAUCAGGCAGAUGUUUGGGUGAUGAAAGAGUUUGGUGUCAGUGAUUCUUGGACUAAAUUUAUGAUCCUUUGUGAUAGUUUUCCAGAUUCUUGGAAACCCUUGAGUUCAUCAAGGACUGGCUGAGUUUUGUUCAAAUUACAUCGAAAAGUUAGUUGUCUUUGAUCGGCAUGAGGAAAAAUAAUAGGCAAUGCUAAGAAUCACAAAAAACUAACUUCUAGAUAUGGGCAGUUUGUAUUUCCAUUGAAAUAAACUGACCGUAGGGCUUCGUCCGACUAACUAAGCUUGCAUGAGCUAUGGUGCUUGGGGUAAAAUGUGCCUCCGGUUUCAAGGAUCAAUUAUUUAACCGUUCUACCAAAACUGAUUGCUCGUGGAGAGAGAGAAAGAGACAUGGAGAGUUGUGGGUUGCAGCUGAAUAGAAAUGAAAAAGUGAGAGUUGUGCAAAUGUUAGUUUGGAUUUACUCUGUACAAGAAUUUGUUUCAAGUCGGUAUCUCAUAUUGGUUUUUUGUUUUAGAAGGGACUGUUAAUUGACCUGCAUAUUGAACGCCAUCUCCCUCUCGUCUUAUCAAAUGUGUGUGGAUUAUAGCUU